rnacentral:rRNA from 1 species
UAUUAAAGGUCCCGCCUGCCCAGUGAAACUUAUUUUAACGGCCGCGGUAUUCUAACCGUGCAAAGGUAGCGUAAUCACUUGUCUUCUAAAUAAAGACCAGUAUGAACGGCUAAAUGAGGACAAGCCUGUCUCUUGUAAUUAAUCAGUGAAACUGAUCUCCCAGUACAAACGCUGGGAUAAAUACAUAAGACGAGAAGACCCCGUGGAGCUUAAAACAAACCACUAACAUACCUUAAAUCCUAGUGCACUGUUUUGAGUUGGGGCGACUUCGGAACAAAACAAAGCUUCCGAGCACAGAACCACCACUUCCAACUAAGGCCAACAAGCCUAAGUACAACCCGACCCGGCUCCACUGCCGAUCAACGAACCAAGUUACCCCGGGGAUAACAGCGCUAUCUUCUUCAAGAGUCCCUAUCAACAAGAAGGUUUACGACCUCGAUGUUGGAUCAGGACACCCAAAUGGUGCAGCCGCUAUUAAAGGUUCGUUUGUUCAACGAUUAACAGUCCUACGUGAUCUGAGUUCAGACCGGAGAAAUCCAGGUCGGUUUCU